CUGGGCUGUUUCCAAGCUUUCACUAUUACAAACUGUGCUGCUAUGAACAUGGGUGCACAUAUAUCGCUGUGGGGAGAAGAUUUAAAAGGGGUUAGGGAGGAGAAAACAGAAACAGAAGAGGAAGAGAUCAGGAGCAAGGCUGGAGGACAAACUUUAGGAAACUGGUGAAGAAGACAGGUGGGAAAGAGAAAAGGAAGAAAUAAAAACAAGAACAGAACAACAACAAAAAUCUAGAAACCGUGUUCAAAUAAUCAAGAAAAAACAAAACAAUAACCACAAAGGAGGGGGAAAAAGAAAGAAAAAAACCCAGCCAAUUCAAGCAAUUCACAGUGCUUGGCUGCUUUUUCGGAAACUCCCCUGGAGGGGGCGCUCCCUCUACUAGCCCUGGCUCCCUAUAAAGGGCCAGGCCACUUGGCAGAAGAUGCCCACUGAGGAUCCCGAGAUAGCAUCUGUGUCUGCCACAGCUCUGCCUGCAAGUACCAUGAAGGUCUCUGCAGCUGCCCUCUCUUGUUGUCCUAACUGCUGCCACCCUCUGCGCUACUGCAUCUGCCUCCCCACAUGCCUCAGACACCACUCCUUGGUGCUUUGCCUAUAUCCCCCGGCCAUUGCCCCGCAACCACAUCACGGAAUAUUUCUACACCGUGGCAAGUGCUCCAACUCAGCAGUCGUAUUUGUUACCCGAAAGAACUGCCAGGUGUGUGCCAACCCAGAGAAGAACUGGGUUUGAGAGUACAUCAGCUCUUUAGAGAUGAGCUAGGAGAGGGAGCAUCCUGAACCUGACCUUGUGUAAACUCAGAUGCUGUGCCUUGCUCUAGUCUUAACCAGCUUAGGAAGCUUCUCAAUUGCUACUCCCAUUCAUCCUUGGGAGGGCAUGGGUUUUACUACAAAGCAGCAAUAAUAAUGGCUUCUCCCACUUAAAAGCCUAAAAGAGCUACUGUGGCCCUGCCUUGGCAUGGGAAGUCUCUAGGUUUCCAGCUUCAGGCCUCUCACCCUGCCCACAACUCAGUGACAAGGAAAGAAAUCAGCAUGCCGCUCAAGGCAAAGAAGUAAGACUGG
rnacentral:lncRNA from 1 species